ensembl:snRNA U1 U1 spliceosomal RNA
CAACUUACCUGGCAGGGGAGAUACCAUGAUCACGAAGGUGAUUUUCCUGGAUUAGGUUUAUCCAUUGCACUCCUGACGUGUUGACCCCUGUGCUUUCCCCAAAUGUGGGAAACUUGACUGCAUAAUUUGUGGUAGUCAGGGACUGCAUUCUCGAUUUCCCCUGU